UACGGAGGGUGCAAGCGUUAUCCGGAUUCACUGGGUUUAAAGGGUGCGUAGGUGGGUUGGUAAGUCAGUGGUGAAAUCCCCGAGCUUAACUUGGGAACUGCCAUUGAUACUAUCGGUCUUGAAUACCGUGGAGGUUAGCGGAAUAUGUCAUGUAGCGGUGAAAUGCUUAGAUAUGACAUAGAACACCAAUUGCGAAGGCAGCUGGCUAGACCUGGAUUGACGCUGAGGCACGAAAGCGUGGGGAGCGAACAGG
rnacentral:rRNA from 1 species